AGGCUAGUUCUGCCCAAGAGUUCAUAUCGACGGCAGAGUUCGGCACCUCGAUGUCGGCUCAUCUUAUCCUGGAGGUGGAGAAGCUUCCAAGGGUUUGGCUGUUCGCCAAUUAAAAAGAUACGUGAGCUGGGUUCAAACCGUCGUGAGACAGGUUGGUCUCCUAUCUUCUGCAGGCGUUGAAUUUUGAGGGGAUUUGCUCCUAGUA
rnacentral:rRNA from 1 species